rnacentral:rRNA from 1 species
GACGAACGCUGGCGGCGUGCUUAAUACAUGCAAGUCAACUGAACUUUAGGUAGCAAUAUUUAAAGGGAGGUGGCGCACGGGUGAGUAACACGUAGGUAAUCUGCCUUCAGGACUGACAUAACUCCGCGAAAGCGGGACUAAAAUCAGAUGAUGCAGCGGCUCGACAUCGAGACAGUUGUUAAACCUUCGGGGCCUGAAGAUGAGCCUGCGUCUGAUUAGGUAGUUGGAGGGGUAAUGGCCCACCAAGCCUGCGAUCAGUAGCUGGUCUGAGAGGAUGAUCAGCCACACUGGAACUGAGACACGGUCCAGACUCCUACGGGAGGCAGCAGUAAGGAAUAUUGCUCAAUGGCCGAAAGGCUGAAGCAGCAACGCCGCGUGGAGGAUGAAAUACUUUAGUAUGUAAACUCCUGUAAGAGGGGAAAAAUAUACAGUUCUGCUGUAUUGAUUGUACCUCAGAGUAAGCACCGGCUAACU